rnacentral:rRNA from 1 species
AUAUCGACAUUGCGGCGGGCCUACACAUGCAGUCGAGCGGUAGAGAGAAGCUUGCUUCUCUUGAGAGCGGCGGAUGGGUGAGUAAUGCCUAGGAAUCUGCCUGGUAGUGGGGGAUAACGCUCGGAAACGGACGCUAAUACCGCAUACGUCCUACGGGAGAAAGCAGGGGACCUUCGGGCCUUGCGCUAUCAGAUGAGCCUAGGUCGGAUUAGCUAGUUGGUGAGGUAAUGGCUCACCAAGGCGACGAUCCGUAACUGGUCUGAGAGGAUGAUCAGUCACACUGGAACUGAGACACGGUCCAGACUCCUACGGGAGGCAGCAGUGGGGAAUAUUGGACAAUGGGCGAAAGCCUGAUCCAGCCAUGCCGCGUGUGUGAAGAAGGUCUUCGGAUUGUAAAGCACUUUAAGUUGGGAGGAAGGGCAUUAACCUAAUACGUUAUUGUUUUGACGUUACCGACAGAAUAAGCACCGGCUAACUCUGUGCCAGCAGCCGCGGUAAUACAGAGGGUGCAAGCGUUAAUCGGAAUUACUGGGCGUAAAGCGCGCGUAGGUGGUUUGUUAAGUUGAAUGUGAAAUCCCCGGGCUCAACCUGGGAACUGCAUCCAAAACUGGCAAGCUAGAGUAGGGCAGAGGGUGGUGGAAUUUCCUGUGUAGCGGUGAAAUGCGUAGAUAUAGGAAGGAACACCAGUGGCGAAGGCGACCACCUGGGCUCAUACUGACACUGAGGUGCGAAAGCGUGGGGAGCAAACAGGAUUAGAUACCCUGGUAGUCCACGCCGUAAACGAUGUCAACUAGCCGUUGGAAUCCUUGAGAUUUUAGUGGCGCAGCUAACGCAUUAAGUUGACCGCCUGGGGAGUACGGCCGCAAGGUUAAAACUCAAAUGAAUUGACGGGGGCCCGCACAAGCGGUGGAGCAUGUGGUUUAUUCGAAGCAACGCGAAGACCUUUACCAGGCCUUGACAUCCAAUGAAUCC